GGCCCUAUAGAAGGGAAGGCAACAGGGUUUACCCUCUCCUCAGUACCACCAGCAGCAUGAUAUAGAAGAGGAUAAGGAGAGGAGGAAGGGGAGCUUCCAGCUUGGGGAGCAUGGAGGUUAUUUCGCGUUGACUUGCUUGGAGAAGUUUUGGGACACCCUUGCUGGGAAGUAGAUGAGGUGCUGGAUGCUCGGUGCAUUCCCCUUGCCUAUGGCUGAAUGUCGGCCGAUGCUGUUUGCUAAACAAGAGUGCCGGUGGCAGAGGAAUUAGAAGAAAUCCCUUCUUAAUUGGAAACAGGACAAAUCCAGUCAAGCAGGUGCUGAGCCAGUAACAGCAUGGGACAAGCUCCCCUUCCUUGGGCACUGUCAAAAUUCAGCAUCCUUCACAGCCUCCAACAAUGAGGUCCUACAGGUAUGACUUUGCUUUGUGUGGGUCUCUGAAGUUAAAGAUGCUAAUGAAUCUCUACUGCAAAGUCCAACAUCAUCCAGAAUGACAGCAGAUCUUUCCCAAAGGCUUCCCAGGCCAGGAAGAUGGUAACUGAAGAGGCAAAGCAGGAGGAAGCAAGAAGGAUGCUUGCCCUGUGCCCUACCCAACUAACUUCUCUGAAGUGGCUUCAAGGGGCCCCAGAGGCAGAAGGGAUGGACAUCCAGCUCCAGGUGGCAGUCCUGAUGUGCAUGUCCACUCUUUGGAGCUCCCAAGCACCUCCUCAGGCAGUUGACUUGAUCACAGGUAGUGGGGUACCGAGCCACAUUGGAGCCUUACUUGUUAUUGUAGCUGCAGCAUGCUCUGGAGAGAAAAAUAAGAAAGGGAGAGGCUCAUAUCUUCUUGGAAAAAACUGGGGUGUGCAUUUGGCUCUGCGUAUUCUUGUUUUGUCUCUGAACCGCCCCCUCCUCAAGCAUUCCUGCACAAACCCCCUUUGUUUGCUGCCCUCAGCCAGCAUCCAGGCAGUAACAGCAGCCCAGAUGUUCCCUAUCAAACUCAGAGCCAUGCCAACAAAC